rnacentral:sRNA from 1 species
UGAAUGCUGUGCAUUUGCAGCGGAAAUCCUUCUUGCGUAAUGAAAUGGAGCGAAAAGAUUCCAGUAUAAAGCGGGAUACAGC